AAACGACGACGCGACUGGCGCAGGUGGACCACCACCGGGGAGCGUCUUUGGGAUUCAACGGCCGCCCGCCUGGGUCAAGGAU
rnacentral:ncRNA from 2 species